rnacentral:rRNA from 1 species
GACGAACGCUGGCGGCGUGCUUAACACAUGCAAGUCGAACGAAGUGGCGAACGGGUGAGUAAUACGUGGGUAACCUGCCCUCCUUUUUGGGAUAAGCCUUGGAAACGUGGUUUAAUACCGAAUAGAGGGGGCUGGGCUUGCGGCCUAUCAGCUGGUUGGUGGGGUGAUGGCCUACCAUGGCGCUGUCGGGUAGCUGGCCGGGGAGGGUGACCGGGCACAUGACAACGGAGAGACGGCCCAGAGUCCCACGGGAGGCGGCAGUGGGGGAUAUUGCACAAUGGGGAAAAGCCUGAGGCAGGGACGUGGCGUGGGGGAUGAAGUCUUACGGGUUGUAAAGCUCUGACGCUAUCGAACGGGUAGGUGGAGAAGAAGCGCCGGCUAACUACGUGCCAGCAGCCGCGGUAAUUC